GCAACAGGUCCACAGUCAAUAAUGAACAGCGGUCCCUGACGGCCUGCUGGAAAUAGAAGAUUACCCAAUUCCCUGGUUUUCAAAGAGCAUCUGCAUACUGCCGUCUCCUGCCAAGAUGUGCACAAUCGAUUCAAAAGAUACAGAGAGAAGGGACACAUCCUCACAUCUGAGAAGCUUGAAAGAUUUAUUUUUUUAAUACUUUUGACUGACAAAUGACUUCAUCAGUUAAUAGACUGAAGUAAAUCGUCUGAACCACUUCAUAUCCAGAGGAGAGCUCUGGACCAGUCACAGCGGCCGUAUUUAACACACUUUAUGUAAUAUCAUCUUACCUGUGAAGCCACGAGUUACUAGAGCUGAGCCAAACGUCAUUACAUGUCGACUGGAGCAUCAAAUGUCUCAUUUUGUAUCAUCACCCCAAAAAAUGUCAAACAAUAGCUGGUUCUAACUUCUUUAAUUAAAGAUUGACCUUCGUUUA